rnacentral:lncRNA from 1 species
UUCUUUGCUUAACACAUGGUUUGUUCUACUACUUGUUUUCUUAUAUCGUAGUUACGGGUUUCUUCCUUUAUGAGUAAGUGUUAACACCGAACCUACCUCUCCUAUGUAUACUAAUACAGAUGAAACAAAGAAAUCAACUCAAACAAUCACCAGAACAGGACUACUAUCUUCUUACCUGAACUCAUAUAAAUACAAGGUAAAGCACCCGAACUGGACUUUAGAACUGGGCAUUCUCCCCUUACUUUCGCACCCCAAGAUAUGAUAUGGAUUCUGUUACAGCAGAUGAUCUCGCUAAGUCAAGUUAAGUGUUAUCCUAUUAUCCGAUAUGAAUAUUAAUGGAAAUUGGAAUGAAACGACUACAUAAAGAGCUAUGUAUGGUUCCCUUGCCGACCUUACCUCUACUUUCAGGGCCAACAAACUCAACUAGGAUGAAACUGGGAAUUCCACUUAAUUAACAGCACUUUAAACAAAGAACUCUGUUAGCGGUCAACCACAUACGUUACUUGCGAGGCGGGCUCAACAGGAAAGUAAUCUGUGUAAGGUAAGAGAAAGAUUCCAUAUUCCUGUAUUGUUCCAGUUCGAAUAGUAUAUGCCCUAAAAGUUGCCAAGUAGGGCCAAGUAGAGAGAAGAGAGGGUACUCCUUAGUAUGCGAAGGGGCGGUAAAGAAACUAUAUUGAUUCUUUUAUGUGAACUGAAAGGACUGUUAGCGGGAAGGAAACUCCAUUCUUAUGAGUUAACCACCUAGGGAUUCCACU